ACUUAAGUAGUUUAAAUAAAAUUAUGAUUUGUGAUAUCAUAGAUAUAAUUAGUUAUCUUGAGUU
rnacentral:tRNA from 1 species